CCUACGGGGGGCAGCAGUGAGGAAUAUUGCGCAAUGGGGGCAACCCUGACGCAGCGACGCCGCGUGAGUGAGGAAGGCCUUCGGGUCGUAAAGCUCUGUCAAGAGGGAAGAAGUGCAUGGUGGUUAAUAUCUGUCAUGUUUGACGGUACCUCUAAAGGAAGCACCGGCUAACUCCGUGCCAGCAGCCGCGGUAAUACGGAGGGUGCAAGCGUUGUUCGGAAUCACUGGGCGUAAAGGGCGCGCAGGCGGCCUGAUCAGUCAGAUGUGAAAGCCCACGGCUUAACUGUGGAAGUGCAUUUGAAACUGUCAGGCUUGAGUACCAGAGGGGAAAGUGGAAUUCCCGGUGUAGAGGUGAAAUUCGUAGAUAUCGGGAGGAAUACCGGUGGCGAAGGCGACUUUCUGGCUGGAUACUGACGCUGAGGCGCGAAAGCGUGGGGAGCAAACAGGAUUAGAUACCCCUGUAGUC
rnacentral:rRNA from 1 species